UAUCCAAACUACUAUGGGAGCCGAACUUCGCCUUUGACUUCAAUUGCAGGAAGAGUCCGUCCGGACUCCUACGAGAGCCGGGCUUCAUCAUCAAUUCCGACCGCUGCCGAACCUCAGCCGACGGAUCUGCACUCCUGAGCAGACCGCGGUGACGGGAAACACUGCUCCACUCCCACGGCAGACCCCACGCAACCCCAUUACUCUCUGACAGGCUGUAUCAACGGCCAUGAUUCUACUCCAC
rnacentral:lncRNA from 1 species